UACAGAGGGUGCAAGCGUUGUUCGGAAUUAUUGGGCGUAAAGGGCGCGUAGGCGGCGCGACAAGUCACCUGUGAAAUCUCCGAGCUUAACUCGGAGCCUGCAGGCGAAACUGUCGUGCUGGAGUAUGGGAGAGGUGCGUGGAAUUCCCGGUGUAGCGGUGAAGUGCGUAGAUAUCGGGAGGAACACCUGUGGCGAAAGCGGCGCACUGGACCAUAACUGACGCUGAGGCGCGAAAGCUAGGGGAGCAAACAGG
rnacentral:rRNA from 1 species